AAGAAGUAGCUUUCAUUUCUGAUCAAAUGAAAAAUAAAAUAAAGUAGAUGAACCAAGUUCAGAACUGGCUUACGUCAUGUGCCUUCUGAAAAACCACUGUUAUUCUAACAUGGUAAUAUCUGAAAAGAAAAGACAAGUAGGCGUGGAAGAAGCAGCCACCCAGAUUCUAUUUCCUGGUCCUGGCCACCAGUCAGAGUAUUGUGCUGUGAUUGGGCAGAAUUGCCUCCUUGCCCAAGUGAGUGUGAGGACACAGGCCCAGAGGAGCCAGGAGGGAGAACCAGCCCCCAGGAAAGGAAACCUCUCACUUGCCAAGAUGGGUCAAGAACUAUCUGCAUUAAGUUUAUCUGUGGCAGCUCCUGGAGUUUCUGCAUCACUGAUAUGCUCAGGACCUGUCACGUGGCUUAUUGGGGCAGGGGUGAUUGUGGCUGUCACCGUCGUUGGUGCCGUCUAUGUGGUGAAGUACAUCAAAACGGUACAGGGGCAAGGCUGGACUAGGGGGCACGGGAUCAGAGUGUACGGAGUAAAGUGAGGCCUGUGAAAGGUUGGAGCAGCCAAGUGAGCUUGGGAGGCCCAGUCCCCUUGCUCUCCCCUAACAGGCCCCUCUCUUGCAGCAGAAUACGAAGAACAGCAAUAAAAGAGACUAACAAGAUCCUAUCCUGGCCCCGGAGAAGUGAAGGCCACCCUCAGAAGAAAUGGAAUGUAAUGAAAUCUAAAUUUACAGCAAUAUAAAGUUAGAGAGCAAAAUAAGUAAAAAAUUAUGAUUGCAUUGCUACUGUGUGCCUGACUUUUUCCUAGGACCAGGCUCUGAAUUCCAGGAUUCUG
rnacentral:lncRNA from 1 species